rnacentral:lncRNA from 1 species
UAAUAUGGCCUCGAGCAGCCUCCUUGAAGCCCAUUGGUUAUGAUUUUUGACCAAUAGGAAUGGAGAUUUAUAUCAUCCAUCUCCAUUCAUUCAUAUAGAUGCUCUUACUACUGUUUUUGCUACCAAAACUCCUCUCUAAUUCUUUUCUUUAUAAGAUUUAUAUAAUAUAUAUCCUAUACACUGUAUAAAAGAAAUAAAAUAAGACUUUAAGAAUCACCAAUAUCUAACAAAGGGGACUCUAAAUAUUUAAAGGUUACUACUAAUAAGAUCAACUUCAAAGUCACUAUCAAAAGAAAAUAAAGUUAUAUAAAUUUUAAUAGAAGUCCUUUUAAACAACUUCUUUUUGAGCUAAUAAUCUAUCUACAUCCUAUAACUAACAAAAAUCUACUAAUAUGGC